rnacentral:rRNA from 1 species
AACGAACGCUGGCGGCAUGCCUAACACAUGCAAGUCGAACGAGACCUUCGGGUCUAGUGGCGCACGGGUGCGUAACGCGUGGGAACCUGCCCUUAGGUUCGGAAUAACUCCCCGAAAGGGGUGCUAAUACCGGAUAAUGUCUUCGGACCAAAGAUUUAUCGCCUUUGGAUGGGCCCGCGCUGGAUUAGCUAGUUGGUAGGGUAAAAGCCUACCAAGGCGACGAUCCAUAGCUGGUCUGAGAGGAUGAUCAGCCACACUGGGACUGAGACACGGCCCAGACUCCUACGGGAGGCAGCAGUGGGGAAUAUUGGACAAUGGGCGAAAGCCUGAUCCAGCAAUGCCGCGUGAGUGAUGAAGGCCUUAGGGUUGUAAAGCUCUUUUACCCGGGAUGAUAAUGACAGUACCGGGAGAAUAAGCGCCGGCUAACUCCGUG